AUGGCGACCGGACGCACGGGUGAGUAACACGUAUCCAACCUGCCGAUGACUCGGGGAUAGCCUUUCGAAAGAAAGAUUAAUACCCGAUGGCAUAGUUCUUCCGCAUGGUAGAACUAUUAAAGAAUUUCGGUCAUCGAUGGGGAUGCGUUCCAUUAGCUUGUUGGCGGGGUAACGGCCCACCAAGGCAUCGAUGGAUAGGGGUUCUGAGAGGAAGGUCCCCCACAUUGGAACUGAGACACGGUCCAAACUCCUACGGAAGGCAGCAG
rnacentral:rRNA from 1 species